rnacentral:rRNA from 1 species
UUGGUUAAGUUAGAAAGGGCGCACGGUGGAUGCCUUGGCACUAGGAGCCGAAGAAGGACGGGACUAACACCGAUAUGCUUUGGGGAGCUGUACGUAAGCGUUGAUCCAGAGAUUUCCGAAUGGGGGAACCCACUAUCUUUAGUCGGAUAGUAUCCUUACGUGAAUACAUAGCGUGAGGAAGGCAGACCCAGGGAACUGAAACAUCUAAGUACCUGGAGGAAGAGAAAGAAAAAUCGAUUUCCUGAGUAGCGGCGAGCGAAACGGAAAGAGCCCAAACCAAGAAGCUUGCUUCUUGGGGUUGUAGGACACUCUAUACGGAGUUACAAAAGAAAGUUAUAAAUGAAGCGGUCUGGAAAGGCCCGCCAAAGACGGUAACAGCCCGGUAGUUGAAAUGGCUUUCCCUCCAGAGUGGAUCCUGAGUACGGCGGAACACGUGAAAUUCCGUCGGAAUCCGGGAGGACCAUCUCCCAAGGCUAAAUACUCCNNUUAAUGGGUGAUAGCGUGCCUUUUGUAGAAUGAACCGGCGAGUUACGAUUUGUUGCAAGGUUAAGCGGAAAAAGCGGAGCCGUAGCGAAAGCGAGUCUGAAUAGGGCGCAUAAGUAACAGGUCGUAGACCCGAAACCAGGUGAUCUACCCAUGUCCAGGAUGAAGGUAAGGUAAUACUUACUGGAGGUCCGAACCCACGCACGUUGAAAAGUGCGGGGAUGAGGUGUGGGUAGCGGAGAAAUUCCAAUCGAACUUGGAGAUAGCUGGUUCUCUCCGAAAUAGCUUUAGGGCUAGCCUCGAGGUAAAGAGUCAUGGAGGUAGAGCACUGUUUGGACUAGGGGCCCUUCUCGGGUUACCGAAUUCAGAUAAACUCCGAAUGCCAUGUACUUAUACUCGGGAGUCAGACUGCGAGUGAUAAGAUCCGUAGUCGAAAGGGAAACAGCCCAGACCACCAGUUAAGGUCCCCAAAUAUAUGUUAAGUGGAAAAGGAUGUGGGGUUGCUUAGACAACCAGGAUGUUGGCUUAGAAGCAGCCACCAUUGAAAGAGUGCGUAAUAGCUCACUGGUCGAGUGACCCCGCGCCGAAAAUGUACCGGGGCUAAACAUAUUACCGAAACUGUGGAUGAACCUCUUUAGAGGUUCGUGGUAGGAGAGCGUUCUAAGGGCGGUGAAGUCAGACCGGAAGGACUGGUGGAGCGCUUAGAAGUGAGAAUGCCGGUAUGAGUAGCGAAAGAAGGGUGAGAAUCCCUUCCACCGAAUAUCUAAGGUUUCCUGAGGAAGGCUCGUCCGCUCAGGGUUAGUCGGGACCUAAGCCGAGGCCGAUAGGCGUAGGCGAUGGACAACAGGUAGAGAUUCCUGUACCAGUGCUAAUUGUUUAACCGAUGGGGUGACACAGAAGGAUAGGGAAUCGCACGAAUGGAAAUGUGCGUCCAAGCAGUGAGUGUGAGAAGUAGGCAAAUCCGCUUCUCGCGAAGCAUGAGCUGUGAUGGGGAAGGAAAUUAAGUACGGAAGUUCCUGAUUUCACGCUGUCAAGAAAAGCCUCUAGGAAGAGUAGUACUGCCCGUACCGCAAACCGACACAGGUAGAUGAGGAGAGAAUCCUAAGGUGAGCGAGAGAACUCUCGUUAAGGAACUCGGCAAAAUGACCCCGUAACUUCGGGAGAAGGGGUGCUCUAUUAGGGUGCAAGCCCGAGAGAGCCGCAGUGAAUAGGCCCAGGCGACUGUUUAGCAAAAACACAGGUCUCUGCAAAACCGUAAGGUGACGUAUAGGGGCUGACGCCUGCCCGGUGCUGGAAGGUUAAGAGGAGUGCUUAGCUUCGGCGAAGGUACGAAUUGAAGCCCCAGUAAACGGCGGCCGUAACUAUAACGGUCCUAAGGUAGCGAAAUUCCUUGUCGGGUAAGUUCCGACCCGCACGAAAGGCGCAACGAUCUGGGCACUGUCUCAACGAGAGACUCGGUGAAAUUAUAGUACCUGUGAAGAUGCAGGUUACCCGCGACAGGACGGAAAGACCCCGUGGAGCUUUACUGCAACCUGAUAUGGAAUGUUUGUACCGCUUGUACAGGAUAGGUAGGAGCCGAAGAGACGUGUGCGCUAGCAUACGAGGAGGCAAUGGUGGGAUACUACCCUGGCUGUAUGACCAUUCUAACCCGCCACGCUUAGCGCGUGGGGAGACAGUGUCAGGUGGGCAGUUUGACUGGGGCGGUCGCCUCCUAAAGAGUAACGGAGGCGCCCAAAGGUUCCCUCAGAAUGGAUGGAAAUCAUUCGCAGAGUGUAAAGGCACAAGGGAGCUUGACUGCGAGACUGACAAGUCGAGCAGGGACGAAAGUCGGGCUUAGUGAUCCGGUGGUUCCGCAUGGAAGGGCCAUCGCUCAACGGAUAAAAGCUACCCCGGGGAUAACAGGCUUAUCUCCCCCAAGAGUCCACAUCGACGGGGAGGUUUGGCACCUCGAUGUCGGCUCGUCGCAUCCUGGGGCUGUAGUCGGUCCCAAGGGUUGGGCUGUUCGCCCAUUAAAGCGGCACGCGAGCUGGGUUCAGAACGUCGUGAGACAGUUCGGUCCCUAUCCGUCGCGGGCGCAGGAAAUUUGAGAGGAGCUGUCCUUAGUACGAGAGGACCGGGAUGGACACACCGCUGGUGUACCAGUUGUUCCGCCAGGAGCAUCGCUGGGUAGCUAUGUGUGGCAGGGAUAAACGCUGAAAGCAUCUAAGCGUGAAGCCCCCCUCAAGAUGAGAUUUCCCAUUUCUUCGGAAAGUAAGAUCCCUGAAAGAUGAUCAGGUAGAUAGGUUUGGAGUGGAAGUGUAGCGAUACAUGGAGCGGACAAAUACUAAUCGAUCGAGGACUUAACCAAAA